rnacentral:rRNA from 1 species
CAGCUCUAAGUGGGUGGUAAAUUCCAUCUAAAGCUAAAUAUUGGCGAGAGACCGAUAGCGAACAAGUACAGUGAUGGAAAGAUGAAAAGAACUUUGAAAAGAGAGUGAAAAAGUACGUGAAAUUGUUGAAAGGGAAGGGUUUGAGAUCAGACUCGAUAUUUUGUGAGCCUUGCCUUCGUGGCGGGGUGACCCGCAGCUUAUCGGGCCAGCAUCGGUUUGGGCGGUAGGAUAAUGGCGUAGGAAUGUGACUUUACUUCGGUGAAGUGUUAUAGCCUGCGUUGAUGCUGCCUGCCUAGACCGAGGACUGCGAUUUUAUCAAGGAUGCUGGCAUAAUGAUCCCAAACCGC